rnacentral:rRNA from 1 species
CCUACGGGAGGCAGCAGUGAGGAAUAUUGGUCAAUGGGCGCGAGCCUGAACCAGCCAAGUAGCGUGAAGGAUGACUGCCCUACGGGUUGUAAACUUCUUUUAUAGAGGAAUAAAGUGAGGCACGUGUGCCUUUUUGUAUGUACUUUAUGAAUAAGGAUCGGCUAACUCCGUGCCAGCAGCCGCGGUAAUACGGAGGAUCCGAGCGUUAUCCGGAUUUAUUGGGUUUAAAGGGAGCGUAGAUGGGUUGUUAAGUCAGUUGUGAAAGUUUGUGGCUCAACCGUAAAAUUGCAAUUGAUACUGGCAGCCUUGAGUACAGUUGAGGGAGGCGGAAUUCGUGGUGUAGCGGUGAAAUGCGUAGAUAUCACGAAGAACUCCGAUUGCGAAGGCAGCUUACUAAACUGCCACUGACAUUGAGGCUCGAAAGUGUGGGUAUCAAACAGGAUUAGAUACCCGAGUAGUC